GCAUGCUUUUACAGUAUGGAAAUUGGUGAUUUAUAAUAACUUGGCAAAUCGCAAAGUGAAAACAGGCGAUAAAUCAUUCAAGUUUCUGACCUAUCAGCUUUCGACGGUAUGGUAUUGGCUUACCGUGGCAGUGACGGUUAACGGGGGAUUAGGGUUCGAUUCCGGAGAGGGAGCCUGAGAAACGGCUACCACAUCUAAGGAAGGCAGCAGGCGCGCAAAUUACCCAAUUCUAACAGUUUGAGAGAGGUAGUAACAAGAAAUAACAAUACAAGGCAAUUAAAAUGCUUUGUAAUUGGAAUGAUAGAAAUUUAAACCCUUUUUAAAGUAUCAAUUGGAGGGCAAGUCUGGUGCCAGCAGCCGCGGUAAUUCCAGCUCCAAUAGCGUAUAUUAAAAUUGUUGCAGUUAAAAAGCUCGUAGUUGAAGUUCUGCUAAAAGUAACCGGUCUGCUUUUAAUAAAAGUGGUAUCUUGGUGUGUAUUUAGCAAUGAUGUCCUUUGAAGUGUUUUUUACUUUAUUGUAAUAAAGCAUAUUCAGGACUUUUACUUUGAGAAAAUUAGAGUGUUUCUAGCAGGCCGACGCUUUGAAUACUGCAGCAUG
rnacentral:rRNA from 1 species